AUCAUAAUGCCUGGCAUCCUGGUGCUCAAACCCCACCUGAGUGCUUCCCACGUGCCAGGCUUUCGGCUGGCCUUGGGAUACAGAGAUGAGUAAGACAUGGUCCCAGUUCUUGCAGAGCUCCCAGAUGAGUGAUCAAAUGAGCCUUAGAGCACAGAGAUCUUGCUCACCAUAGAGAGAAACUAUUUAUAUUCUAGACCCUGUAGAAUCAUCCAGAAGGAAGCCUUGUACACAUCAUUAUCUAUCACAUAACCAGGAAUUUUUGAAGCUUUGUGAAGCAGCUUAGGUAACUUUUAAAACAAUCCUCAGUGAGAAAACAAAUUCCACAAGUAGGAGGGAGGCCGCCCAUAAUGCAACCAACUUGGUUAAUCACUUGGAAGUUCUUCCAGUCUUGCGAGGACUUCUUGGGCACUAGUUGUACCAAUAACUAACCCCAAGGAAUUGGACUCAGAAGAGCAAUACAAAUUGCAGCCUUGCCACUUACGAGCUGAGAGAUCUUAGCCAAAAUAACUCAAUCUGUCUGAGUUGUAUUUUUUAUCAGUCGACUGAAGAUGAAUAAUAUUCAGGCUACAAGUUUAUCAAAGAGUUAAUAGGAAUUUUCUGGAUUUGGAAAGAGGCGUCAGUUUCAACCUGACCUUUCAAUACAGCUUCUGCAGCUUGAACGCACAUGCACCACUUGGGCUGAUGUCUUCCAAGAAGGUGUGGACUCUGAGCAAUAGUCUGGCUAUGGGAAGAGAUGGAGUCCAUGUUGCCUCGCCUGGUCUUGGACUAUUGGCCUCAAGCGAUCAUCCUACCUCAGCCUCUCAAAGUGCUAGCAUUCAAGCUCACAAACAAGAGUUUUGAACCUAGGCAGGCUAAGCAGUGAUCUUGAGGACUGAAAGGGGAAACUGCUGUCAAUUAAUAGGACAUCAAACACCCAUACUCUACUGGAAAAAUGUGUCCACAGACAUUUGCUUGAGAGGAGGAGGUGGCUGGUGAAGAGCCCUAUGGUUGCUCUCCUGUGUCUUCACUCUUAGCAGCUACAACAUGCACAAGAUUCAGUGCAUUCAAUAAUUAGUUCUCAGCAUCCUGUGAACUGGCGAUCUAUUUCCAGAAUGAUUUAGUGCAGUUUCCUCUAAGUCCAUGCUAAAAGAGGAAAUAAUUAGGCUCAGAAGCAUUUAACUUAAAACUGGUGUUUCUACUUAUCUACAAUGACUGUGCUAAUUAGGCCUCUCAUAAAUUUCUCUGACAUACUUCACUCUACAACCUCGAGCCUUUACCUCAUGUGUUCCCCUGGGAUCUAGAAUGGUGCUGGAAAACCACUGAGAUGGGAGCCUCUUAGUCUGGACUCCCUGGAGGAAGAGUAAUUCACUUAAGAAAAAGUUUGCCAUCCCCCGAUCUACAUGAUACUUAUGAGAAAAAUGAGGCUCAAGGACGUUCAAUGGUAUUUCGGUAUUUCGGUAUUUCGAUGUCACUCUGCUACUUACUGGUGGCACCAAGAUUUAAAGAUGUGCCUAUCUGACUUUAAAUGAAAGCCUACGUUCUUUACAGUUCUCCAAAUCAAAACUUGAAGAUAAAACCCCAACUUCCUCCAAAGUAUACUGUAUGAGUGGCACAGCACAUUACAAGCUGAGAAAGAUGAGCUAUGAAUAAUAAUGCUAUUUUUAAAGAUCCUUGUGAGACAUAAUAACUGUUGGAAACUUCAGCUAUAUAAGAAUACUGCACUGUAAGUUAUCUUUUUCCUUCGACUUCUAAUUUAACUCUAAAUUAUAGCAGUUAUAAUUAAGAGCAAAAAUUAUACGACAAACCAUUUGGGGGAAAAAAACAAACGGAAUCUUGCCAGCAAAAUUGACAUUAGUUUCAAUGUACAGCUUUCACAUUGAAACAGACUCUAAAAUAUUUGAUGUGUUCACGUAAUAUGAUAUGGUUCACCUGUAUGAACUUGCUGACUCUUUCCCAGGCUGGAUAGGGCAGGGCAGGGCAAAGUGUGCUUAAAAUAAAAGUCUUUAGCAUGGCUUUUGUUUGAAACAUCCGUUUCUCUUUUUUGCUUAACUCCUUAACUACCCAGUCAGCCAAAACAAGGUACUUUGUAGAGACUUUUUGCAGAUAUCUGGUGGAAGAUAAUGCUAUGGAAAAAACUGCUGCUGCUCCCCUGUUCACACUGCCUCACCUGAGCCUUCAGAGUUUAGCAGCUUUUACAGGCAGCCAUUAAAUCCUCCCCAAGUGCCAUUGGCACCAUAAAAGCACAAGGCUUUAAAAACAGACACCAGAGAAGAGUGCUGAGCUGGCUCAAUUCAUACCGAGGCCAGCAAAUGCAGGAAAAGUAGUAUGUCUCCAAGACCUCAAUCUUCCCUAGACAGAGUCUAGCUGUUGUAUCAAUCUGAGAAAGGUUAGUUGAGGAGGGAAUAGAAUGGUAGACCAUGGCUUAUUUUGACUCUUAAGACAAGUUAGAAUUUAGGUUUUGGAAAGUCAAAGUCCAUGUGUCUCAGUCAGUCAGGAUAAAAUGAAAGGGAAGAAAUAAGUUAGUACCAUAGUACCAAUCCUCGCAGACACAUGUAGGAAGCAGAGAUCAAAGCCUUCACUCCACAAAUGUAAUCUGGGGGCAUGCGGCACUUUCUAGCAUUCAGGCAAUGAAUGUAGUCAUCUUACUUGCUAAUUUUCACUCAUUCUCUCCUGGAGGAGGGAGAAGGGGAUAAAAUUCCCAGCAAUCAGAACAAAAUAGUAGAAGUAUUUACUAAUUGUUCAGUGGGGAAGGCAGUGAAAGUACUGACUAGAGUGUGGCAUGGGGAUUUCCAGUUCCUACAUAUUCUAGUUUUCUGUUAGCACAAAGAAUGGGGUUGGAUAUAAACAUAACCCUGAAAGGCUCCUGCGAGAACAGCCUUUGACCUCAGCCCAUUACUCACUGGA
rnacentral:lncRNA from 1 species